rnacentral:lncRNA from 1 species
GUCAGAUUUCCAGUAGCUGGAGUUACAGGCAGGUAAGGGUUGUCUGAUGUGGGUGCUGCAAAAUGAACUCAGGUCCUCUAACCACUGAACCAUCUCUCCAGCCGACCCGUAACAUUGCAAUAAAGUUGAAAACAAUUGUGGCUAGUGUUUUUUUUUUUUUUUUUUUUAAGUGUGCCUCAUCUAUUUCAGAUACACAGAUACUAAAUACUAUGUUGUAGUCACACACUGUAUGAGACUGCAACCUGGCAGCAGUAGGCUAUGUCAUACUGGCUGUUCAGGUACAGUGACUCUGUGGCUAAGUGACGGAGACAGUACAAGCGCAGAUGAUUCUCUGGUAAGUCUGAGUGCCGGAACUCUCCCUCCCAGAGGUUUCCUACACAGCAACCACUUGGAAGCACAUUAGGUUGACAGAGCAUCUUACCCUGUGGGGCUGAGGAUGGAAAAGCCUGCGCACGAUGAAGGUCGUGGCUACGAUGCAAAGCAGGAUCGUCCCGAAUAUCUCCUUCCACCAGUGCAGCAGGAGGAUAGGGUCCUUCUUGCGGAUGUUCUUGCUGUAGUGGGGGCUGUCCAGGAACCUGACUGUGAUCUGCGUGCUCCGCUUAUUCCUUUCUCUCUUGUAGUAUGGCAGAUAGUAACCGUUAUCUGAGAAAACAAGCGUCACGAGGGGUUCUCUGUUAACACAACUGCAACAGUUCUGUUCCCCGCACUCCAAGACAGGGUUUCUCUGUGUAGCUCUGGCUCUCCCAGAACUCACUCUGUAGACCAGGCUGGCCUUAAACUCUGAGAUCCACCUGCCUCUGCCUCCCGAGUGCUAGGAUUAAAGGUGUGUCUGCCACCACCCAGCCAAUUUAACUUCGUCUUAAUUCUAUUAAUUAAUUUCAAAUAACUGCACGAGACAAAUGACACUUACCGUAUGGAUACUGGAGGAUUGAAAGUGCACCAUUACUGUAUUCUUCGUGGGAAUACUUAUCAUUACUUAGACAUUUGUCAAAUUCAUCAGACCCAACCAAGACAGGAGUCCUAGAAGGAGAAUCUAAAGAGAACGUACACUAUUAACCACGUGACUUCAAUGAAAGGCAUAGGCUCAUUCAUUCACUUAGCUGACAUUUGCCCACAGCUCAGCUCAAGAACACAGGUCAAAGAGCCUUGCUACUGAGACAUCCUUGCUACUGAGACGCAAUCAGGUCCUACACUAGGAAGAUGACCCACAUCUGUGUGAAGCAGACAAUUUGAGCUUAGGAGUAGGGAGAUGAACAUGGGUAACAUAGUCAGACCGUAUCUCAAAACAACAGAUGCAGAAAGGGUCAUUCAUCCAAAGAAUCGCUUAAGGGUCAGCACGUUGGGUCACUGGGUAAAGGCAUCUAACAUCGAAGCUUCAAACUUGAGUUUGAUCACUCUAACCCACAUAAAUAAAAUUAAACUCAAACAAAAUUUUAAAAGAAGCCCUUCAAGUAUAACAUUUACAAUAAAAACACGCAAAAGGUAUAGAAAGAAAACUAAAGGAUUUGGUCCAGUACUUCAAUUUGUUUAUUUGUCUCAAAAAUAUGUGAUUACCAGGUAACUUGUUUACCUACAUACACUUAUUUUUCUGUUUUGUUUUGUUUUGUGUUUUGAGAGACAGGGUUUCUCUGUAUAGCCCUGGCUGUCCUGGAACAUGCUCUGUAGACCAGGCUGGCCUCGAACUCAGAGAUCUGCCUGCCUCUGCACCACCAUGGCCUGGCUUAUUCUGUUUUAAAUGCUUUGCUUGCUAGUUGGUCUUGGAGAUGUGGUCUUACUGUGCCCUGGUUGGCUGGAACUCAUUGUGCAGACUAGGCUGACCAUGAACUAACAGAGAUCCCACUGUUUCAGCCUCCCAGGUGCUUGGAAUAAAGGUGCUGGGUUUGUUUGUUUGUUUGUUUUUUGUUUCGAGAUAGGGUCUCCUGUCACCCAGACUGACUUCAAACUCACUAUGUCGAUGAACCUCCUGCUUCCACAUUCAAGUGCUAGGAAGUUGCAGGCCCACGCUACCACACCUGACUUACCUAGUAGGCACUUCAGUAGUAUUUGUAAAGUCUCUAAGUGACUUACGGAUUAAGGGCUUCCAUUUGAUCGUCGGCAGAGGAAUAAUUGCAUUUUCGCCAUUUACAGACUCCAAGGCCUUUGGGCUUGUAGGGAACUUUUCUGAGACCCUGACGGACGACUGCAGGUACAGCUGGCCUCUGUACAUCCCUGGGUCAACCACAUGGUCAAAAACAUGUCAGUCACAUGAUGGAGUUCUUAAAAGUUUGCUCUGAUUUAAUGCACUUAGACAAAUGUUAUUCCUUUGCUACAUAGCUCUUUCCAGGGAAGAUGCUCAAAGCAUUUACAUUUGACUCAACAAAACCGAAAAACAUAUAUAUAUAUAAAGCCUCUACAAUGUUCCCCGAACUGAAUAAUAGCACCUUUUCAGUAACACAAAACCAUUUCCACC